rnacentral:rRNA from 1 species
GAUGAACGCUGGCGGCGUGCUUAACACAUGCAAGUCGAACGGAAAGGCCCAAGCUUGCUUGGGUACUCGAGUGGCGAACGGGUGAGUAACACGUGGGUGAUCUGCCCUGCACUUCGGGAUAAGCCUGGGAAACUGGGUCUAAUACCGGAUAGGACGAUGGUUUGGAUGCCAUUGUGGAAAGUUUUUUCGGUGUGGGAUGAGCUCGCGGCCUAUCAGCUUGUUGGUGGGGUAAUGGCCUACCAAGGCGUCGACGGGUAGCCGGCCUGUGAGGGUGUACGGCCACAUUGGGACUGAGAUACGGGCCAGACUCCUACGGGAGGCAGCAGUGGGGAAUAUUGCACAAUGGGCGCAAGCCUGAUGCAGCGACGCCGCGUGGGGGAUGACGGCCUUCGGGUUGUAAACUCCUUUCGCUAGGGACGAAGCGUUUUUGUGACGGUACCUGGAGAAGAAGCACCGGCUAACUACGUG